rnacentral:rRNA from 1 species
GAUGAACGCUAGCGGCAAGCUUAAUACAUGCAAGUCGAGGGGCAGCAGGUUUGUAGCAAUACAAAUGCUGGCGACCGGCAAACGGGUGCGGAACACGUACAGAACCUUCCUUUAAGUGGAGAAUAGCCCAGGGAAACUUGGAUUAAUACUCCGUAACAUAAUGAAGUGGCAUCACUUUAUUAUUAUAGCUCAGGCGCUUAAAGAUGGCUGUGCGGCUGAUUAGGUAGUUGGCGGGGUAACGGCCCACCAAGCCAGCGAUCAGUAACUGGUGUGAGAGCACGACCAGUCACACGGGCACUGAGACACGGGCCCGACUCCUACGGGAGGCAGCAGUAAGGAAUAUUGGGCAAUGGACGCAAGUCUGACCCAGCUAUGCCGCGUGGAGGAU